rfam:Cavia porcellus supercont2_25 genomic scaffold, whole genome shotgun sequence.
GGGGAUUUAGCUCAGCUGCAUAAGCGCCUGCCUUGAAAGCAGGCAGUCACGGGUUCGAUCCCCGGUACCA